rnacentral:rRNA from 1 species
ACUUGGAUAACUGCGGUAAUUCUGGAGCUAAUACAUGCUACAAAGCCCUGACUUGCGGAGGGGCGCUUUUAUUAGAUCAAGACCAAACGGCUCGUCCGUCUACUGGUGAUUCUGAAUAACUUUUUGCUGAUCGUAUGGCUCUACGCCGACGACGUGUCCGUCCAAGGUGUGCCCUAUCAACUGUCGACUGUGGCAUAUACGCCCACAGUGGUUUUGACGGGUAACGGGGAAUUAUGGUUCGAUUCCCGAGAGGGAGCCUGAGAAACGGCUACCACUUCUAAGGAAGGCAGCAGGCACGCAAAUUACCCAAUGGGCGAAAACCGAGGUAGUGACAAAAAAUAACGAUACCGGUCUCUUCCGAGGCCCGGUAAUCGGAAUGAGUACACUUUAAAUCCUUUAACGAGGAACAAUU